rnacentral:rRNA from 1 species
GACUAACGUUGGCGAUGUGCCUAACACAUGCAAGUCGAGCGGCUCGCAAGAGCAGCGGCAGACGGCUGAGUAACACGUCCGUAACCUACCCAUAAGCGGAGGAUAGCUCGUCGAAAGACGGGGUAAUACUCCAUGUGGUGUCACCGUGAUUCGGUGCCAUUAAAGAUUUAUCACUUAUGGAGGGGCGGGCGGCCUAUCAGUUUGUUGGCGGGGUAACGGCCCACCAAGACUAUGACGGGCAGCUGGUCUGAGAGGACGACCAGCCAGACCGGGACUGAGGCACGGCCCGG